AUAGAUUUUAAGAAGGGUUAAUAAUGUAAUUUAAAAAAAACAAAAAAAAACUCAAAAUUGGCUAAAAAUGCAAAAAGUCCCGUUGGGCAACGGUGCUGGACUGUUGCCAACGGUCAAGUGGGCCCCAUGGUUUCAGAAAAUUUUUUUUUAAAAAAAAAAAAAAAAAUUUUACCGUUGGGGACCGGUCCGGACCGGUCCGGGUUG
rnacentral:lncRNA from 1 species